AUUUCAUUUUUGCGGGCUGAGUCACAGUAUCACCAACGAGCGUAGAGACUUUUUGCGACAAGUUUUAUUCGUCGAUAAAGGUUUUGAUCUGACAAGUUUAGAACAGUGUCGUUUUUUUCAUUUUCGAACCCUAUUCCCCCUAAAUCCCAUUCGAACAAUAGCACUGUGCAUUCCUUGUCUCCUCUCUACAUCUUCCCUCUCGAUCUCCCCAAUCUCUCUCUACUUCGCUGUCUUUGGUCUACAACCACCAAAUUUCGCCGCCAGCUAGAGUCGUAGCCGCUUGCGAGACCACCCUCCUGCGACGCCACCACUUGUGACUCCCACCACCUGUGACGCCACGGCCUGUGGAUCGAAAAUUAGUGAAACAGAUGGUGACGACUACAAUAUAUGGUGUUACUUAUGUAGGGGCACAUGAGCAAAUAGCUAGAAGAUUGGAGGAAAAGGGUCAUAUCACUGAUGAUGGGCUGUUAUUCAAUGCAGCUUGCCAUGCUGCCAAAGUGAGCAAGUAGCUACCAAACAGGACUACUGAUAAUAAAAAAAAGGAACCAAAUAAUAAGAGUUUGGUUAUCUAGAUUGGAAAAAUAUUAUAGUUGCAUAUUUUUAAUAUACAUCAGUAUUUCCUGUGGCUAGAAAUUAAAUUGGAAGAUGUUUUAGACAUCUUUGUACAAUUUACAAGGAAGUCAAUGUUAUAAUAUUAAAUUCUAGCAUGUUUACUUUUGCAUGAGUUUAUAGUUAUUGCUACUUUAAUUUUGCAUGUUUGGCUCUAUUAGAACCUUAAGUGUCAUAAGAACUUUUCCGAGGACCACACAAAACAACUUAGACUAUUAAAAGGAACCACCCCAAUGCGAAAAUCUUGAGCAACUUGUACCAUUGCAGUAGGGAAGUUGAGCACCCAAAUUUGAAACUUGGGACUCGCAUAGGCUAGUUUAAGAACACAAUCUGCUAUGCAAUUGGUUGUGUUAUGGGUUUGAGUCCCCAAAACAACCGUUUUAAGUGGGGGUAAGGCUGCAUACAACUAAUUACCCCCUUUCUGUAUUAGCAGGAGCCUCAUAGACUGGAUGCAUUUUAAAAAGAAAAUAAGUGUGGAUAUCAUAUUCACAUCAUGUUGCACGGCUAGCGAAUAACAAGAUUUUCAUAUUUAUCUUGAAUUACCCCAUUCUGCAUUUAAAUAUUUCUUUUUUGAGUAAAUUACUUCCCAUAGGUGGCAUAGACGGUCAUUGGAGAGUUGUUUCAAGCUGCUCACAACAGAAUGUGUUGGCUUGGUGGUUGUGCAAGGGUUAUUGCAUUAGAUAAUCAACUUGUUCGAUGGACGACUCCUCUAGGUCUCCUUGCUGUGCUACCCUGCUGUAAAAGUGAGUGACAUCUUCGAUUUAUGAACUUUUCAGGUCCUUUUGGAGAUCGGGCUUGAAAGCGUGGGCAGGGUUUAGUUUUUGUGACUGUGAGUGAAUUUAAGAUACUGGAACAUAUAAGUUUUUGUUUUAAAUGCUGGUUAUGUAAUAUGGAUAGAUGGAAACUCUUUUUGGUUGUACAAUAUAGUACUUUGGUAUUUUAUUUGAGGCAGUUUAAUAAAUUUCUGUUACA